rnacentral:rRNA from 1 species
AUUUGAACGCUGGCGGCAGGCCUAACACAUGCAAGUCGAGCGGAAACGAGUUAUCUGAACCUUCGGGGGACGAUAACGGCGUCGAGCGGCGGAAGGGUGAGUAAUGCCUAGGAAAUUGCCCUGAUGUGGGGGAUAACCAUUGGAAACGAAUGGCUAAUACCGCAUGAUGCCUACGGGCCAAAGAGGGGGACCUUCGGGCCUCUCGCGUCAGGAUGUGCCUAGGUGGGAUUAGCUAGUUGGUGAGGUAAGGGCUCACCAAGGCGACGAUUCCUAGCUGGUCUGAGAGGAUGAUCAGCCACACUGGAACUGAGACACGGUCCAGACUCCUACGGGAGGCAGCAGUGGGGAAUAUUGCACAAUGGGCGCAAGCCUGAUGCAGCCAUGCCGCGUGUAUGAAGAAGGCCUUCGGGUUGUAAAGUACUUUCAGUCGUGAGGAAGGUGGUGUAGUUAAUAGCUGCAUUAUUUGACGUUAGCGACAGAAGAAGCACCGGCUAACUCCGUGCCAGCAGCCGCGGUAAUACGGAGGGUGCGAGCGUUAAUCGGAAUUACUGGGCGUAAAGCGCAUGCAGGUGGUUUGUUAAGUCAGAUGUGAAAGCCCGGGGCUCAACCUCGGAAUAGCAUUUGAAACUGGCAGACUAGAGUACUGUAGAGGGGGGUAGAAUUUCAGGUGUAGCGGUGAAAUGCGUAGAGAUCUGAAGGAAUACCGGUGGCGAAGGCGGCCCCCUGGACAGAUACUGACACUCAGAUGCGAAAGCGUGGGGAGCAAACAGGAUUAGAUACCCUGGUAGUCCACGCCGUAAACGAUGUCUACUUGGAGGUUGUGGCCUUGAGCCGUGGCUUUCGGAGCUAACGCGUUAAGUAGACCGCCUGGGGAGUACGGUCGCAAGAUUAAAACUCAAAUGAAUUGACGGGGGCCCGCACAAGCGGUGGAGCAUGUGGUUUAAUUCGAUGCAACGCGAAGAACCUUACCUACUCUUGACAUCCAGAGAACUUUCCAGAGAUGGAUUGGUGCCUUCGGGAACUCUGAGACAGGUGCUGCAUGGCUGUCGUCAGCUCGUGUUGUGAAAUGUUGGGUUAAGUCCCGCAACGAGCGCAACCCUUAUCCUUGUUUGCCAGCGAGUAAUGUCGGGAACUCCAGGGAGACUGCCGGUGAUAAACCGGAGGAAGGUGGGGACGACGUCAAGUCAUCAUGGCCCUUACGAGUAGGGCUACACACGUGCUACAAUGGCGCAUACAGAGGGCGGCCAACUUGCGAAAGUGAGCGAAUCCCAAAAAGUGCGUCGUAGUCCGGAUUGGAGUCUGCAACUCGACUCCAUGAAGUCGGAAUCGCUAGUAAUCGUGGAUCAGAAUGCCACGGUGAAUACGUUCCCGGGCCU